CCAGACUCCUACGGGAGGCAGCAGUGAGGAAUAUUGGUCAAUGGGCGAGAGCCUGAACCAGCCAAGUCGCGUGAGGGAAGACGGUCCUAUGGAUUGUAAACCUCUUUUGCCGGGGAGCAAAAAGCGGUACGUGUACCGCAUCGAGAGUACCCGGAGAAAAAGCAUCGGCUAACUCCGUGCCAGCAGCCGCGGUAAUACGGAGGAUGCGAGCGUUAUCCGGAUUUAUUGGGUUUAAAGGGUGCGUAGGCGGGAUGCCAAGUCAGGGGUAAAAAUGCGGUGCUCAACGCCGUCGAGCCGUUGAAACUGGCGUUCUUGAGUGGGCGAGAAGUAUGCGGAAUGCGUGGUGUAGCGGUGAAAUGCAUAGAUAUCACGCAGAACUCCGAUUGCGAAGGCAGCAUACCGGCGCCCUACUGACGCUGAGGCACGAAAGCGUGGGUAUCGAACAGGAUUAGAUACCCUCGUA
rnacentral:rRNA from 1 species